UCAAGCCUGAACAAUUUCACCCAAUUACACCCUAAUCUUUCUAUAUGGGGAUAAGAUGGAAACUUAGACUGGUGAAGAGGGACCCAAAAUAACACUCAAGAAUGGUAAAUCUAGACCUUAAUGGAUUUCUCAAAAAGGAACUCACUCCCUUCCCUUCACUGUAAAUGAUCUUAGGUUCCCACAACAAUGUGUAGAAUAAGGCUUUAUAAUAAAACCAAAAUUUAUGCCAUUUGAAUUUGAUACGCCAUUAACAUGCCUCUGCCACAAACAAAACUUAAAAUGGUAUUUGCAUUGUUCUUUUGCAGAGCUGAGGUUGAAGGCCAACAAUAAUACCAACUUUUGGGGUUUGAAUGCAAAAUUCUGCACCUACCGAAGAAGUGUUUUAUAAAUAAAUAUAUUCUAUGACAAACCAGAAAACUUCUGCCAGCACAAUCAAUGACUUAAGCCAACUCCUCCUGGAUUUGACCUUCUGCAAGGUUUAGAAAUAUCUCAUAAACAUCCAACAUUUAAUUGAUUAUGAUAAAUACCAAAAUGGUUAAAGCCAAACCUCACCAGCAAGUUUGACACCAAGUUGGCUUCAGCAUCAGCCUCGCCAUUCAGUUCGUGAGCAAGAAAUGUUGAAACUUUGCAAUGCAAUAAAAAGACUAAAGGGGGAGCAAAAGAUGUUAUUCAGGAGAAUGCAUUUCUGGAGCAAUCGAUUGACUAAAUUAGAAUACACUGAAACAGUAAAAUAACAUUAUUGCAAAAGCUGGUCUGACUUGACAACUAUCGGUAAGGCUGAUCAAAACUGAUGUUUUAACACUGCAAAUUAUUUACAAGGUCGCCUAUCCAGGAGAAAUACAAAUCAUCAG
rnacentral:lncRNA from 1 species